GGAUAGGGUAGGGUAGGGUUGGGUUAGGAGUAGAGUUAGGGUAAGGUUAGAGGUAGAGGUACUUCUAGCCCUACCCUAACACUACUCCUAACCCUACCCUAAUCCUACCCUAACCC